rnacentral:rRNA from 1 species
GACGUAGGGUGCGAGCGUUGUCCGGAUUUAUUGGGCGUAAAGAGCUCGUAGGCGGCUCGUCGCGUCGACCGUGAAAACCCGCGGCUUAACUGCGGGCUUGCGGUUGAUACGGGCGGGCUAGAGUUCGGUAGGGGAGACCGGAAUUCCUGGUGUAGCGGUGAAAUGCGCAGAUAUCAGGAGGAACACCGGUGGCGAAGGCGGGUCUCUGGGCCGAUACUGACGCUGAGGAGCGAAAGCGUGGGGAGCGAACAGG